rnacentral:rRNA from 1 species
UACGGAGGGUGCAAGCGUUAAUCGGAAUUACUGGGCGUAAAGCGUGCGCAGGCGGUUUGUUAAGUCCGUUGUGAAAGCCCCGAGCUCAACUUGGGAAUUGCAGUGGAUACUGGCAGGCUGGAGUACGGUAGAGGAAGGUGGAAUUCCCGGUGUAGCAGUGAAAUGCGUAGAUAUCGGGAGGAACACCAGUGGCGAAGGCGGCCUUCUCGGACCAGUACGUGACGCUCAUGCACGAAAGCGUGGGGAGCAAACAGG